CACGUAAUUACGAACACCUGACCUGCAGUGCAGCAGAAUUCAGAGGUAAGCGUGUUUUUAGAUGCUUUAACGUUUUAUUUACCCCCCGAUUUUGUCAGUGUAUCUUAAACGUGACUUUUGAGGUGUAGUGUUUCGAAUUUUGAAGCAUUUAAAACUUUCCAGCUUGUUUUUAGUCUUGUUUGCACUCCGGUGACGCGCAGCUAACCUCGAGACAUGUAACUUACUCCAGAGACGCACUAACUUGCACAGCAUUGAAUGGAAAAGGCUUUGUCCAUGUCCAGUUGAGGGCAUCAAGAACACGCAGAUGGCCUAAACCUGUGUCAGCCUGGACAGACUGCCGUUCUGCUACUCCACACCAAGGCUUUUGUAUAGAUGUCUUGACUGCUACUGUGUUCUCUAAAGGUUUUCUGGAAGCUCCAUUUGAGGGCAUCAAGGACAUACUGAUGGCCUAAACCAGUGUCAGCCUAGACAGACAGACAUCUAUUGCAGUUCUGCUACACAAGACCAAACUCUCUGCUUUUGUAUGGAUGUCUGACUAGUACGGUGUUCUCUAAAGGUGUAACUGGAGCAAAACAACAGCACCCGUUACAGUGACAUUUGUGUUCAUAAAAGAUAGUGAUAUAUCAGGUGUAGUAACAGGUCCAGUACAUUUGUCAUAAAGGUUAAAUCACAGUAAGUACUGUAAAAAUAACUUGUUUGCCUUUGCCACAACAGGUCAUGGUGUGUACUUACUGCUCGUAAUAAACACACACGCUGAUCUGAUGCGGGAGAGAUAUAUGCAAACACAUUAGUAUU
ensembl:processed_transcript